CUCCCCUGGCAAUGGGCAAAGAGACACCUUGUUCGUGGUGGUGUUCUAUCAGUCAGGGCAGAGUUGACAGCAGUCCUUUAUUCAUCCUAGCUUGAGGCCUGGCUUGGUGGCCAAAGCUGUUUUAUGCCUAGGACUCAGGA